rnacentral:rRNA from 1 species
GAUGAACGCUGGCGGCAGGCUUAACACAUGCAAGUCGAGCGGAGAGAGGUAGCUUGCUACUGAUCUUAGCGGCGGACGGGUGAGUAAUGCUUAGGAAUCUGCCUAUUAGUGGGGGACAACAUUUCGAAAGGAAUGCUAAUACCGCAUACGUCCUACGGGAGAAAGCAGGGGACCUUCGGACCUUGCGCUAAUAGAUGAGCCUAAGUCGGAUUAGCUAGUUGGUGGGGUAAAGGCCUACCAAGGCGACGAUCUGUAGCGGGUCUGAGAGGAUGAUCCGCCACACUGGGACUGAGACACGGCCCAGACUCCUACGGGAGGCAGCAGUGGGGAAUAUUGGACAAUGGGCGGAAGCCUGAUCUAGCCAUGCCGCGUGUGUGAAGAAGGCCUUAUGGUUGUAAAGCACUUUAAGCGAGGAGGAGGCUACUUUAGUUAAUACCUAGAGAUAGUGGACGUUACUCGCAGAAUAAGCACCGGCUAACUCUGUGCCAGCCGCCGCCGUAA